UACAGAGGGGGCAAGCGUUGUUCGGAAUUACUGGGCGUAAAGGGCGCGUAGGCGGCCUUCUAAGUCAGACGUGAAAUCCCUCGGCUCAACCGGGGAACUGCGUCUGAGACUGGAAGGCUUGAAUCCGGGAGAGGGAUGUGGAAUUCCAGGUGUAGCGGUGAAAUGCGUAGAUAUCUGGAGGAAUACCGGUGGCGAAAGCGACUCUCUGGACGGCAACUGACGCUGAGGCACGAAAGCGUGGGGAGCAAACAGG
rnacentral:rRNA from 1 species